GUUGGUUGAAAAUCGCCCUGGCUUUGGCCGUGGCUAUGGGUGAGAUUCAGCGCCUAGAGCCACCAGGAGCUUCAGCUCACCGCCCACAGUUUCAAUGUGGAGAGGUGAAACCCAGGCUCCGACAGGU
rnacentral:snoRNA from 13 species